GUCUGUCACACUACGAGAACUAGCCAUGUUGAAGUCGUUACUUUAACUGCAAAAAAAGAGAUGUCGAAGACAAGACUAAUGACAGAAGUGAAGUCAUAACAA
rnacentral:rRNA from 1 species